GAUGAACGCUGGCGGCGUGCCUAAUACAUGCAAGUCGAGCGAACGGACGAGAAGCUUGCUUUUCUGAUGUUAGCGGCGGACGGGUGAGUAACACGUGGAUAACCUACCUAUAAGACUGGGAUAACUUCGGGAAACCGGAGCUAAUACCGGAUAAUAUUUUGAACCGCCUGGUUCAAAAGUGAAAGACGGUCUUGCUGUCACUUAUAGAUGGAUCCGCGCUGCAUUAGCUAGUUGGUAAGGUAACGGCUUAACAAGGCAACGAUGCAUAGCCGACCUGAGAGGGUGAUCGGCAACACAGGAACUGAGACACGGUCCAGACUCAUAAGGGAGGCAGCAGUAGGGAAUCUUCCGCAAUGGGCGAAAGCCUGACGGAGCAACGCCGCGUGAGUGAUGAAGGUCUUCGGAUCGUAAAACUCUGUUAUUAGGGAAGAACAUAUGUGUAAGUAACUGUGCACAUCUUGACGGUACCUAAUCAGAAAGCCACGGCUAACUACGUG
rnacentral:rRNA from 1 species